GGUAACAUCAAAUCGUACCCCAAACCGACACAGGUGGUCAGGUAGAGAAUACCAAGGCGCUUGAGAGAACUCGGGUGAAGGAACUAGGCAAAAUGGUGCCGUAACUUCGGGAGAAGGCACGCUGAUAUGUAGGUGAAGUCCCUUGCGGAUGGAGCUGAAAUCAGUCGAAGAUACCAGCUGGCUGCAACUGUUUAUUAAAAACACAGCACUGUGCAAACACGAAAGUGGACGUAUACGGUGUGACGCCUGCCCGGUGCCGGAAGGUUAAUUGAUGGG
rnacentral:rRNA from 1 species